rnacentral:rRNA from 1 species
UUUGACGUCUUGACCUCAAAUCAG